ensembl:snoRNA
GGCCUCCCAGUGCUUACAACAGGCUGUGUCCUUACACUGACUGUAUAGAAAGAGGAGGCACAGCAAACCUACCCUAUAUACACCUCAGCCCAAGCCCUGUGCCUGGUCUGUAUUGUGAAUAGGGGGACAUAG